rnacentral:lncRNA from 1 species
GCAGUUGCUCCCUGGAUGUCUUGAAGGUCACAGGCAUCUUAUAACUUUCUGCUCCACCCUCCUUGACAAUGGCUUUUAUUCUCAAGGUCAGUUAGUGGUCCCAGGAUGGCAGCUGCAGCUCCAGCCAUUGGGUCUGCAUCCAAAGAAGCAAGGGUGAAGGGACAGCAGCAUCCGGCAGGUGAAGAGCUUGUGGCAGACGGAGAGCUUUUUUGGCCUCCAACUAAGGAUUUCCAGACACAUCUCAUUGGUCAACUGCUGUCAUGAGGGAGGCUGGGGAAUCUAGGAAGGAUCAUACUUUAGCCAGGCAUAUUGCUGCCUUCAAAAAAACUAGAGGUUUUAUUACCAAAGAAGAUGGGGGAAAAGGAUAUUCAACAGGCAAGUAGUUGUCUCUGACAUUUCCUCCAGAAAACCAGAUUUCUGGCUUGGGCAAUUGGCUAAAUGGUACUGAAUGGUGGUGUUGUUUCCUGAGACAGGCGACACAGAAGAAGGAAGAGGAGGAAUUCAGUCUGAGGCAGGUCGAGUAUACGCUGCUGGAGGCAUUAAGGGAGAAGACGGCCAUCUGCAAGCCAAACAGAGAGCCCUCAGAAGAAACCAAACCUGCUGACACCUUGCUCUCCGACUUCUGGCCCACAGAACUGUGAGAAAACAAAUUUCUGGUGUUUAAGCCAUCCAGUCUCGGCACUUUGUCAUGGCAGCCUGAGCAGACUCAUAAAAGGAUUUUGAGAUUGGGGGUUAUCCUGGGCCAUCCAGGAGGGCCCAAUGUAAGGUCUCAAUAUAAGUGCCCAAUAUACAGCAUCACAUAGGGGUCCUUAUAAAUGAAAGACAGAGGCAGGAGGGCCGGAGAAAAGCUGUGAUGACAUAAGAACACCAGCCGUCUUCUGUGGACAUUGGCUACGAAGAUGGAAGGGGUCUCAAACCAGGGACUGCAGGCGGCCUCCAGAAGCUGAAAAAAGCAAGGAACAGAUUCUCCCCUAGAGACUCCAGAAGGACACAACCCUGCCUGUACCUGGGCUUUAGCCCUGUGAGAUCCAUGUUGGACUACUCACCUCCAGAACUGUGAG